ACGGCUCAGUAACACGUGAGUCAACAUAACCAAAGGACGUGGAUAAACUCGGGAAACUGAGGCUAAACCGCGAUAGAUCAAGAUAUCUGGAAUGGUUUUUGAUCAAAAUCUAUAUGGCCUUUGGAUUGGACUGCGUCCGAUCAGGCUGUUGGUGAGGUAAUGGCCCACCAAACCUAUAACCGGUACGGGCUCUGAGAGGAGGAGCCCGGAGAUGGGUACUGAGAUAAGGACCCAGGCCCUAUGGGGCGCAGCAGGCGCGAAACCUCUGCAAUAGGCGAAAGCUUGACAGGGUUACUCUGAGUGACUUUCGUUAAGUAAGUCUUUUGGCACCUCUAAAAAUGGUGUAGAAUAAGGGGUGGGCAAGUCUGGUGUCAGCCGCCGCGGUAAUACCAGCACCCCGAGUGGUCGGGACGAUUAUUGGGCCUAAAGCAUCCGUAGCCGGCCUCACAAGUCCUCCGUUAAAUCCAGCUGCUAAACAGAUGGGCUGCGGACGAUACUAUAACACUAGGACGCAGGAGAGGCAACCGGUACUCCAUGGGUACGGGUUAACAUCCGUUU
rnacentral:rRNA from 1 species